AACGAACGCUGGCGGCAGGCUUAAUACAUGCAAGUCGAGGGGCAGCAGGAUUGUAGCAAUACAGUUGCUGGCGACCGGCAAACGGGUGCGGAACACGUACGCAACCUUCCUUUAACUGGAAGACAGCCCACCGAAAGGUGGAUUAAUACUCCAUAAUAUAACUGAAUGGCAUCAUUUAGAUAUUAAAGCUCCGGCGGUUAAAGAUGGGCGUGCGUCUGAUUAGGUAGUUGGCGGGGUAACGGCCCACCAAGCCUUCGAUCAGUAGCUGAUGUGAGCGCAUGAUCAGCCACACGGGCACUGAGACACGGGCCCGACUCCUACGGGAGGCAGCAGUAAGGAAUAUUGGUCAAUGGACGCAAGUCUGAACCAGCCGUGCCGCGUGGAGGAUGAAGGCCCUCUGGGUUGUAAACUUCUUUUCUUUGGGACGAAACCCCUGUUUCUACGGGGACUGACGGUACCAGAGGAAUAAGCACCGGCUAACUCCGUGCCAGCAGCCGCCGUAACAC
rnacentral:rRNA from 1 species